rnacentral:rRNA from 1 species
CCUACGGGAGGCAGCAGUGAGGAAUAUUGGUCAAUGGUCGGGAGACUGAACCAGCCAAGCCGCGUGAGGGAUGAAGGUACAGAGUAUCGUAAACCUCUUUUGUCAGGGAACAAAGGCGGGGACGCGUCCCCGGAUGAGUGUACCUGAAGAAAAAGCAUCGGCUAACUCCGUGCCAGCAGCCCCGGUAAUACGGAGGAUGCGAGCUUUAUCCGGAUUUCUUGGGUUUAAGGGGUGCGAGGUCGGUCUGUUAAGUCGGGGGUAAAAGCCCGGGGCUAAACCCCUGCCCGCCGUUGAAACUGGCAGUCUCGAGUUGGAGAGAAGUAUGCGGAAUGCGCGGUGUAGCGGUGAAAUGCAUAGAUAGCGCGCAGAACUCCGAUUGCGAAGGCAGCAUGCCGGCUCCACACUGACGCUGAGGCACGAAAGCGUGGGUAUCGAACAGGAUUAGAUACCCCUGUAGUC